UGGCUCAGAACGAACGCUGGCGGCAGGCCUCACACAUGCAAGUCGAGCGCCCCGCAAGGGGAGCGGCGGACGGGUGAGUAACGCGUGGGAACGUGCCCUUUGGUACGGAAUAGCCCCGGGAAACUGGGAGUAAUACCGUAUGAGCCCUACGGGGGAAAGAUUUAUCGCCAAAGGAUCGGCCCGCGUUGGAUUAGGUAGUUGGUGGGGUAAUGGCCUACCAAGCCGACGAUCCAUAGCUGGUUUGAGAGGAUGAUCAGCCACACUGGGACUGAGACACGGCCCAGACUCCUACGGGAGGCAGCAGUGGG
rnacentral:rRNA from 1 species